rnacentral:rRNA from 1 species
UACGAAGGGGGCUAGCGUUGCUCGGAAUCACUGGGCGUAAAGGGUGCGUAGGCGGGUCUUUAAGUCAGGGGUGAAAUCCUGGAGCUCAACUCCAGAACUGCCUUUGAUACUGAGGGUCUUGAGUUCGGGAGAGGUGAGUGGAACUGCGAGUGUAGAGGUGAAAUUCGUAGAUAUUCGCAAGAACACCAGUGGCGAAGGCGGCUCGCUGGCCCGAUACUGACGCUGAGGCACGAAAGCGUGGGGAGCAAACAGG